UCUCCGUUGGUGAACCAGCGGAGGGAUCAUUACCGAGUUUACAACUCCCAAACCCCUGUGAACAUACCUACGUUGCUUCGGCGGACCACCCCAACCCCCUCGGGGCGAGGGGCCGCCAGAGGACCCAAAACCCAACUGUUUUUUCCGUAACGAAACCUAUUCUGAGUGGAAUUAUUAAAUAAAUCAAAACUUUCAACAACGGAUCUCUUGGCUCUG
rnacentral:misc_RNA from 1 species